rnacentral:rRNA from 1 species
AUUGAACGCUGGCGGCAGGCUUAACACAUGCAAGUCGAGCGGGGUGAUGGUGCUUGCACUAUCACUUAGCGGCGGACGGGUGAGUAAUGCUUAGGAAUCUGCCUAUUAGUGGGGGACAACAUCUCGAAAGGGAUGCUAAUACCGCAUACGUCCUACGGGAGAAAGCAGGGGAUCACUUGUGACCUUGCGCUAAUAGAUGAGCCUAAGUCGGAUUAGCUAGUUGGUGGGGUAAAGGCCUACCAAGGCGACGAUCUGGAGCGGGUCUGAGAGGAUGAUCCACCACACUGGGACUGAGACACGGCCCAGACACCUACGGGAGGCAGCAGAGGAGAAUAUUGGACAAUUGGGGGAACCCUGAUCCAACCAUGCCGCGUGUGUGAAGAAGGCCUUAUGGUUGUAAAGCACUUUAAGCGAGGAGGAGGCUCUUUUGGUUAAUACCCAAGAUGAGUGGACGUUACUCGCAGAAUAGGCACCGGCUAACUCUGUGCCAGCCGCCGCCGUAA